rnacentral:rRNA from 1 species
GAUGAACGCUGGCGGCGUGCCUAAUACAUGCAAGUCGAGCGAACGGACGAGAAGCUUGCUUCUCUGAUGUUAGCGGCGGACGGGUGAGUAACACGUGGAUAACCUACCUAUAAGACUGGGAUAACUUCGGGAAACCGGAGCUAAUACCGGAUAAUAUUUUGAACCGCAUGGUUCAAAAGUGAAAGACGGUCUUGCUGUCACUUAUAGAUGGAUCCGCGCUGCAUUAGCUAGUUGGUAAGGUAACGGCUUACCAAGGCAACGAUGCAUAGCCGACCUGAGAGGGUGAUCAGCCACACUGGAACUGAGACACGGUCCAGACUCCUACGGGAGGCAGCAGUAGGGAAUUUUCCGCAAUGGGCGAAAGCCUGACGGAGCAACGCCGCGUGAAUGAUGAAGGUCUUCGGAUCGUAAAACUCUGUUAUUAGGGAAGAACAGAUGUGUAAGUAUCUGUGCAGAUCUUGACGGUACCGAAUCAGAAAGCCACGGCUAACUACGUG